rnacentral:rRNA from 1 species
UACGUAGGGAGCAAGCGUUAUCCGGAUUUAUUGGGUGUAGAGGGUGCGUAGACGGGUAUAUAAGUUAGUUGUGAAAUCCCUCGGCUCAACUGAGGAACUGCAACUAAAACUGUAAAUCUUGAGUGCGGGAGAGGAAAGUGGAAUUCCUAGUGUAGCGGUGAAAUGCGUAGAUAUUAGGAGGAACACCAGUGGCGAAGGCGACUUUCUGGACCGUAACUGACGUUGAGGCACGAAAGUGUGGGGAGCAAACAGG